UAGGGAAUCUUCCGCAAUGGACGCAAGUCUGACGGAGCAACGCCGCGUGUGUGAAGAAGGAUCUCGGUUCGUAAAACUCUGUUGUUAGAGAAGAACAGCGCAUAGAGUAACUGUUAUGCGUGUGACGGUAUCUAACCAGAAAGCCACGGCUAACUACGUGCCAGCAGCCGCGGUAAUACGUAGGUGGCAAGCGUUGUCCGGAUUUAUUGGGCGUAAAGCGAGCGCAGGCGGUCAAUUAAGUCUGAUGUGAAAGCCCCCGGCUCAACCGGGGAGGGUCAUUGGAAACUGGUUGACUUGAGUGCAGAAGAGGAGAGUGGAAUUCCAUGUGUAGCGGUGAAAUGCGUAGAUAUAUGGAGGAACACCAGUGGCGAAGGCGACUCUCUGGUCUGUAACUGACGCUGAGGCUCGAAAGCGUGGGUAGCAAACAGG
rnacentral:rRNA from 1 species